rnacentral:rRNA from 1 species
AAAGCGCACGUAGGCGGACUGGAAAGUCAGAGGUGAAAUCCCAGGGCUCAACCUUGGAACUGCCUUUGAAACUCCCAGUCUUGAGGUCGAGAGAGGUGAGUGGAAUUCCGAGUGUAGAGGUGAAAUUCGUAGAUAUUCGGAGGAACACCAGUGGCGAAGGCGGCUCACUGGCUCGAUACUGACGCUGAGGUGCGAAAGCGUGGGGAGCAAACAGGAUUAGAUACCCUAGU